rnacentral:rRNA from 1 species
AUUAGACUACCGUGUAGUCCCAGCUGUAAACGAUGCAGGCUAGGUGUUUGGACGGCCACGUGCCGUUCUAGUGCCGCAGGGAAGCUGUUAAGCCUGCCGCCUGGGGAGUACGAUCGCAAGAUUGAAACUUAAAGGAAUUGGCGGGGGAGCACCACAAGGGGUGAAGCUUGCGGUUUAAUUGGAGUCAACGCCGGAAAUCUCACCGGGAGCGACAGCAGUGUGAAGGCCAGAUUAAAGGUCUUGCCAGACGAGCUG